rnacentral:rRNA from 1 species
AACGAACGCUGGCGGCAGGCUUAACACAUGCAAGUCGAGCGCCCCGCAAGGGGAGCGGCUGUCGGGUGAGUAACGCGUGGGAACGUACCCUUAUCUUCGGGAUAGCCCCGGGAAACGGGAAUUAAUACCGAAUGUGCCCCUUGGGGGAAAGAUUUAUCGGAUAAGGAUCGGCCCGCGUUGGAUUAGCUAGUUGGUGGGGUAAAGGCCUACCAAGGCGACGAUCCAUAGCUGGUCUGAGAGGAUGAUCAGCCACAUUGGGACUGAGACACGGCCCAAACUCCUACGGGAGGCAGCAGUGGGGAAUAUUGGACAAUGGGCGCAAGCCUGAUCCAGCCAUGCCGCGUGAGUGAUGAAGGCCUUAGGGUUGUAAAGCUCUUUCACCGGAGAAGAUAAUGACGGUAUCCGGAGAAGAAGCCCCGGCUAACUUCGUG